rnacentral:lncRNA from 1 species
AUGAAUGUGACGCCUAGGAAGGGCACUAGGAAGAGCCCCGGCGUCUCGCCCAACCCUCCCGCCCGGAGGGGACGGCCGCCGAAGAAGCAGAAAGAACUGCAGCUGAAGAAGCAGGAGGAGGCAGAGCGAGCGAAAGAGGAGGCGCCUGGGAAACAGGAGGAGAAUGAAGACGAGGAGGACUUCGACGCAAGCACAGAGCAGAAGAACGGAGAGAUGGCGAGCUCUGGACGCUCUCACAUGCCUCCUCUGCUGUCGUCUCUCUCCACGCUGGUGCUGUACCUCCGGCGGCAGCAGCACGCCUCGUUCCUGUCGCUGUCCCGCGCUCCUCCAUCCGCUGAGGCCUGGCGUCUGCUCUGCCACUCCAGCCUGGCUCUGCUGAUCCUCUACAACCGGCACCGCGAGUGUGAGGUGGCCAAGCUCACGGUGCAGGACUACCGCAGCCGCUCCUCCUGCGACGCCGCUCUGUCGCCGUUCGAGCGCGCCGUCCUCGGCCAGCUCCCGCGUGUUAGCGUGUUGGGCAAACGCGGACGCCUCCAGCCGCUCAUCCUUCCUCCGCACUCAGAGGCGUGUCUGGAUCUGCUCCUGAAGACGUCUGCAGACGUGGGUGUGGAUCCCCAGAGCCCCUAUGUGUUCUCCCGGCCGUAUCACUCCCCGGCCACGCCGCUGCGCGGGACAGACCUGCUGCGGAGCCUGGCGCGCUCUAGCGGUGCUAAGAACCCCGCGGCGCUCACCGCUCCCCGCGCACGCCGACAGGUGGCCAUCCUGACCCAGCUGCUGCUGCUGGAGGAGGGAGAGCGGGCCGCCAAACGCCUGGAGGACUUCCUGCAGAGCGAGUAUCACGUGUCUCAGAGCUGCGCUCGGAUUGGUCAGGACCCGGCGCUGAUGAACCGCGUGGGGAGAGUCGUUCUGUACGGAGAGAGAGAGGGAGUGCUGUUCAGAGGAAUGAGCCUGCAGCACAUCUGCCUCGAGCUGGACGUGAUGUCGGGGAACUCUGCCGACUCGUUCUCUGAUGACUCUGAUGGAGAGGCCAGUAAGAGUCAAGACAGAGCCGGCGCUGGCAAGAAGAAAGGGUUGAGUACUCGAGCGCCGCGGCCGUGCAGAUAAUGAUGAAGGGAAAGGGAAUCACCGCCAUUUACAGGUGAUAUACUAGCAGGCUGGCAGCAGUAGCUAGAUAUGAUAGUCUAUCAAAAUAAUUAACUCCUUUUAAAACUUAACAACUUAGUUGAGCUCCCAGUAGUUAGUUAGCUAGCUUUUUAUAUUUUUCAGUUCACAUUUAUUUUAUAUCAGCUAAAAAUGUUUUAGGGGUUUUGGUUUAAGUGAACUGUAAUAAUGUGUGUGUGUGUGCGUGUGUGUGUGUGUGUGUCUCAGGGAAGCGCGGCGUGCUGAAGCGGCCGUGGUCGGAGGCGGAGCGGGUCGCCGUGGAGACGCACCUGAAGAGGAACAUCAUGGAGCUGCGUGUUCCUGCGAAAGCGGACUGUGAGCGGUGCCUGCAGCUCUGCCCUCUGCUGGUCAGCAACCAGCGCGACUGGAGGGCCAUCAAGUUCUACUGCCACAACCGCAUCCAGCUCCUGAAGAAACAGGGACGCAGAGACGGGAACACGGCCCCCGCGGUCUGCUAACCGCAGUAACACAUACACACAGAUGACAGAACAGUGUUGUGUUUUGUUUAAUAACUGUUCUUCAAAGCUAGCACACAGUGCAAUCGCACACACACUUCACACAUUCCCCCGUGUGUGUGUCUCUCGGAUCAUCUCUCUCAAACUAAGGAUCUGUUUCACACGCCGGUGUUCAGACUCAGAGAAUGAAGCAGGUUUGGAGACGCUACAGCGUGACUCUCUAGCUAGCAACACAGUGCAAUCGCACACACACUUCACACAUUCCCCCCGUGUGUGUGUCUCUCGGAUCAUCUCUCUCAAAACUAGGAUCUGUUUCACACGCCGGUGUCAGACUCAGAGAAUGAAGCAGGUUUGGAGACGCUACAGCGUGACUCUCUAUGGACUGUUUUAUGCGACUGGCGUCAGUCAUGUGAAGUUUGGCUGUGAUGGAUCCGGGCUGGUUUUUCUGGAGGUUUGGUGGAUUAUUUGACCUUCUCAGACCUCGAGGUCAGUCUUGGAGAUUCUGUCCGGCAGACCUCAGUCUGCACUACUGGAGAUCAAUCUCACAAACAACACGUCCAGGUCAUUAUUCACACUCAGAUCAACAGAAAAUACAGGAAAUCAUAUUUUGCAUAAAGAAAAUGUUGCCUGGUUUUUAUUAACCUCUUUGCGGUAUCAAUAUAUAUAUAUAUAUAUAUAUAUUAUUUUUAUUUUUUUUUUUUAUUAUGUUAAUGAGGAAGCAUAACCCCCUAUAAGUAAUAAAUAAGGUAACAUUAUUCUAAUAUGAUUAUUUCUUUUAUUGCCAUAUGUAAGAGUUAUCUGUAUAAAUUAUAAAACACUAUGACAAGGUAAUGUUUAACUUAUAAAUAUUUAUUUAUUUAUUACAUGUUAUAUUAUCUCACACAUGGAUUUUCUAUAAUAUCUAAAUUCUAAAUCAAAAUACAUAUCUGAUAUGACUUAAUAUAUAAUUAGCAUAAAACAAAAAUAUAAUUCACAUUCUCAAGGAUUAAAGAUUACAUGGAAAAAAAUCACGGUCAUCAAUUAGGUGGUGAUAUGCACUAAGCAUGUAAACAACUAAUGAACAAAAGAAGAAUCGUCGAUUCGUCGCUCUGUUGAGAAUGUCUUGAGUCUUAACCAGGAACAUACUCUGAGUUGAAUGAACUUACUCCCGGAUGCGUUUUUGGAACCACAUACCUCGAGUAAGCAAUGUUUGGGGUUAAUCAACCGAGAGUUCAGGGUUUAGUUCACGGUAAGUUAACCCUGCUUUCUGGAAUAUGCCCCUGGAGAGCAACAGUCCUGCAAAGUUUGUCUCCAAACCUAAUCAAACACACCUGAACAAGCUAAUCAAGGUCUAAUGCUGUGUUCCAUUUGAACUUGGAAGCUGGAACCUUUGAGUUCCCAGUAGGAACUUUGAAGGCUAUGCCGGCACUAAGUGUGUUUUCAUUUUAAAACUCAUAACUUUUUCUAUGGUUACACCUGCCAUUUACACUACUCUGGCAUUUUUGACCCUCGAAAACAGAGACUUUUAAAAAUGCUGCAGACCAUGUUUUAGGUAGAAAACUCUAGGGUUGCAUUUCAGUGUAAACAGAGCAAAACGGAGACUUUUGAAAACGUUGGCUUGGCUGCCCACAUUCACUCUCCUUAUCCUUGAUGACUGCGUAAAUAACAUCAUGGUCAUUGUUGUACCCAUAGAUAUGUAUAGGUAGCUGCCCCAUUCGACCACUCCAAGCAUGUAGACGCGUCCACCAUCUAAAUAAUAGGGCCUCUACCUAUAUAUCUAUGAUUGUACCUGCAUGAAUGGUUAGGACAUGCAUUUUCUGUUGUGAAGUGUGGACAGAGAUUGUUUCUGAAACACACUGAAACCCCCUUUUAAAACGCGGUUUUAAAACGAAAACGCA